rnacentral:lncRNA from 1 species
AAUUCUCGUGAGAAAGGUAAUCUUGGUGUGGUGAAGAGGGUUUGCAUGGAAUCAGAAGAAUGGGCAAAGGUUCCUCUGCAAAAAAGAAAUAACACUGAUUUGAGCCUCUACCAAGGUCAUCAUUGAAGAUAUUGGAAAGAAGACGAAGAAAAAAAGGAAAGAAAAAGGAAGAGAAGGAGGAAAGUAAGAAAGAGAAUACAGAAGAACUAAUGAAUCCAGAGCACUUGAUGAGUGAAAAUGAUAGAAAUCCUCCAGAAGGAAAAGAAC